rnacentral:rRNA from 1 species
UGGGGAAUUUUGGACAAUGGGGGAAACCCUGAUCCAGCCAUGCCGCGUGUGUGAAGAAGGCCUUCGGGUUGUAAAGCACUUUCGGACGGAACGAAAUCGCACGGGUGAAUAUCCCGUGUGGAUGACGGUACCGUAAGAAGAAGCACCGGCUAACUACGUGCCAGCAGCCGCGGUAAUACGUAGGGUGCGAGCGUUAAUCGGAAUUACUGGGCGUAAAGUGUGCGCAGGCGGCUUCGCAAGUCGAGUGUGAAAUCCCCGGGCUUAACUUGGGAACGGCGCUCGAAACUACGGAGCUAGAGUAUGGCAGAGGGAGGUGGAAUUCCACGUGUAGCGGUGAAAUGCGUAGAGAUGUGGAGGAACACCAAUGGCGAAGGCAGCCUCCUGGGCCAAUACUGACGCUCAUGCACGAAAGCGUGGGGAGCAAACAGGAUUAGAUACCCAAGUAGUCCCUGAGCGGGCUGGCAAGG